rnacentral:rRNA from 1 species
AGCUCCAAUAGCGUAUAUUAAAGUUGUUGCAGUUAAAAAGCUCGUAGUUGGAUCUCGGGUCCAGGCGUACGGUUCCGCCCGCGCGGACACUGUUCGUCCUGACUCGCCUGUCCGGUGUAGUCUUGGUGCCCUUAACUGGGUGUCUCGGUUGCCCGGAACGUUUACUUUGAAAAAAUUAGAGUGUUCAAAGCAGGCCGCUCGCGCCUGAAUAAUGUUGCAUGGAAUAAUGGAAUACGACCUCGGUUCUAUUUUGUUGGUUUUCGGAGCACGAGGUAAUGAUUAAGAGAGACAGACGGGGGCAUUCGUAUUACGGUGUUAGAGGUGAAAUUCUUGGAUCGCCGUAAGACGAACUACUGCGAACGCAUUUGCCAAGAAUGUAUUCAUUAAUCAAGAACGAAAG